rnacentral:rRNA from 1 species
AGAGUUUGAUCCUGGCUCAGGAUGAACGCUGGCGGCGUGCCUAACACAUGCAAGUUGAGCGAUUUACUUCGGUAAAGAGCGGCGGACGGGUGAGUAACGCGUGGGUAACCUACCCUGUACACACGGAUAACAUACCGAAAGGUAUGCUAAUACGGGAUAAUAUAUUUGAGAGGCAUCUCUUGAAUAUCAAAGGUGAGCCAGUACAGGAUGGACCCGCGUCUGAUUAGCUAGUUGGUAAGGUAACGGCUUACCAAGGCGACGAUCAGUAGCCGACCUGAGAGGGUGAUCGGCCACAUUGGAACUGAGACACGGUCCAAACUCCUACGGGAGGCAGCAGUGGGGAAUAUUGCACAAUGGGCGAAAGCCUGAUGCAGCAACGCCGCGUGAGUGAUGAAGGCCUUCGGGUCGUAAAACUCUGUCCUCAAGGAAGAUAAUGACGGUACUUGAGGAGGAAGCCCCGGCUAACUACGUGCCAGCAGCCGCGGUAAUACGUAGGGGGCUAGCGUUAUCCGGAUUUACUGGGCGUAAAGGGUGCGUAGGCGGUCUUUCAAGUCAGGAGUGAAAGGCUACGGCUCAACCGUAGUAAGCUCUUGAAACUGGGAGACUUGAGUGCAGGAGAGGAGAGUGGAAUUCCUAGUGUAGCGGUGAAAUGCGUAGAUAUUAGGAGGAACACCAGUUGCGAAGGCGGCUCUCUGGACUGUAACUGACGCUGAGGCACGAAAGCGUGGGGAGCAAACAGGAUUAGAUACCCUGGUAGUCCACGCUGUAAACGAUGAGUACUAGGU